rnacentral:rRNA from 1 species
CCUACGAGCGGCAGCAGUGAGGCAUAUUGGUCAAUGGACGAGAGUCUGAACCAGCCAAGUAGCGUGAAGGAUGACUGCCCUAUGGGUUGUAAACUUCUUUUAUAUGGGAAUAAAAUGUUCCACGUGUGGGAUUUUGUAUGUACCAUCUGAAUAAGGAUCGGCUAACUCCGUGCCAGCAGCCGCGGUAAUACGGAGGAUCCGAGCGUUAUCCGGAUUUAGUGGGUUUAAAGGGAGCGUAGGUGGAUUGUUAAGUCAGUUGUGAAAUUUUGCGGCUCAACCGUAAAAUUGCAGUUGAAACUGGCAGUCUUGAGUACAGUAGAGGUGGGCGGAAUUCGUGGUGUAGCGGUGAAAUGCUUAGAUAUCACGAAGAACUCAGAUUGCGAAGGCAGUUCACUGGACUGCAACUGACACUGAGGCUCGAAAGUGUGGGUAUCAAACAGGAUUAGAUACCCCUGUAGUC